rnacentral:misc_RNA from 1 species
CCCCCCUGUGAGACAAUUACGACAAGUGCGUACGCGAAAUCUGGCCGCGUGAGAUCGCGCAGCUCCGGUCCGGUCUUUCCUCCGUCACGGCGUCAUUGACGAACGAUCCCGCAGUGUCUAUCCCGGAACCGAAGGGAUCGGCGGCGAAUCGAGGCUCGCCGUGAAGAUUUUUAGCAUUUUAUUCGAAACAUUCUUCUCGAAUCACGUGGGAAGGUGCGCGCCUGUCGUGCGCGACACGGCAAUCGGUUUUACAAAUCGGUUCUCGACUUUUCUUUCACCUUUGACUUUUCAUCGUCGCACAACUUCGCGGAAGCUCACAGUAGGAGUAUCCUACGAAGGGAGGUCCCAAUGUUUCUUCUUCGGAUAAUGAUAACCAGUGGUGAAGUAGUGAUAGUGCGUUACGUGGGGAUCUGUUCGUCGCGUCGAUCUUUCGCGGGAGGAUUCUCCUGUGCGUAAUCACGACCGCGAGAAGAGGGUACGCGCGUGAGAUAUAUCGAUAAGGCCAGCGAGACCGACAAAAGAGAGGGAAGAGAAAACGCGAGGUAAUGCACGUCAGCUCUCGCCGAUUAAUAAUCAGAAGGAGGGAAAAAGUGAAAGAAAAAAGAAGAGAGACAGGACCAGCCUAAAUAAAGUCAUUUAAAGAUCGGCCUCAACCGAUCGUCAUCAACGGGGAAACGACCCGCCAGGAUCAUUCGCAGUGUACCGAGUAUCCUCGGCCGCUGUCGGAUAUCGGGCAAAGGAGAGGAUCGAUGUCACCUCGCGAAUCGAUCGCGCGUCGUUUCUCGCCGAGUCGUCGGUCCGGAAUCCGGCGAUCAGCUGAUCCGGCAGAUAAGAAUUGCGCGGCCGUUACCGGGGCGCGCGGUGUGUAACGUGUAAUCGUAAACCGGUGCGACCGACGCGGCAGCCGCAAGAAUGCGAGAGAAUCGAAAGCGCGACGACGGUGCAUGGACGGUAACAGCGGACUGGCAGCCGCAUCCCUCGUUCUCAGCGGCCCACGUCGUCUCGAGGCACCCUCUUCGGAGGCGGAAGUGACCGGAAGUUGGCCUUCUUAAUAUCAAUUGGCAGCGCGCGCGGUCAUCAUCAACCGUACCGACCGAUGACACUUCUCGCGAUUGUUAAACACGGAAUCGCGAGGAGGAUUUACAUAAGAGAUCUAUAAUAAAUCCAGAGGAAACGGCAGUAAUCCCCAACGCGGACAAGAGGGAGGAGGGUAAAGGAGGAAGAGUCGGAUGAGACCGUCAUGCCCGCUGAGAUCGGCACGGGCGGGCAUAGGGUGCUGCACUGUGAUUCCCAUGCCGACCGCCCAAUUGCGAUAUCGAUUUACGUGCCGUCCCCGUCGAGCGAUGAGCGCCGAAUCAAUCGCGUAAACUCGCCCGUGAAAACGGUGUUCAACGAUGACAAAUUGAACGAGUCGCAGGGAGAAGCUCCGAAGGAUCAGCCACAAAAGACUGAACGUCGCGUGAGAAAAGCGGAGUCGUCAGACCGCGGGCGCGGAAAGAACCCAUCAUGUAAUCACGGUGAAAGUUCACCCACGAGGAUUCUGAGAAUCGCUGGCAAAAAGGAAACGGUCCAAGGCGGACGUCACUUCCUGGCAAAGAGUGGCGCGUCGCAGCGGCAACGAAGGGGAGGGGGAGGAGAGGAGGACGGCGACGGAUUUCUCGGAGCAUGUCGCGCGUCGAGGGAAUCUCCGUACGGGAACGAGGAUGUCACCAGGGACGAACGUUUCUCGGUCACGUGGAGCUCGCGGGAGGACGCGGGCGAGGACGGGAGGCUCGUGCGAGGAACGGAGUCGCGGCUGCACCGGGACGACGGGACGGAGCGAUAUCGGCUCGCAGUAGCGGAUGUGAGGGUGAACACGAUCGCGAGGCGUCGAAGUCUCCGGAAUCGAUCCUGGACGAGACCACGGCCGUCGUCGUCCCGCGGGAGUAGGGCGGCUCUCGACGCGGAUCUGAUCGGCGAUCAGCCGCGAACUACAGGGGGUGAUCCUCCUCUCUCUAGUCACCACUCGCGCGCUAUUCGCGCGGAGGUAGAAAUCUAUGGGGACGGACGUCGAGACGUCGACGAGAGGUUUCUCGGCGUGAAAUUCGGUAGUGAGACGCGGACGGAUGAAGACGAACGAUCGGACGAUCCGGGACGACGUGAUGUACGCCCGGAGGACAGGCGGGAUAAGAGGCCCGGCCAGGAUUCCACGGACAGGAAGCGGCUCGAUCGCGUUCGCUCUUUCCUGCAGCUGGCCGUCCUCGUCUUCCUAAUCGCGUUCGGACGAUACGGGCCGCUCGGCUCGUCCAGUGUGCUUGGAGUCAGUGCUAGACCGGUCGCGAACGGCUUAAGUGUUUUGGGAAUUAUCGGUGCAGUGAACGCGAGGUCAGUCGAUCUGACCGGCGACGCGGGUACGCGGGCCGAGAGAUCGGCCAAUCUCUCUCACAUCACCGGAACCUCGAGGAAAAUACAAAUGUAUAUCAUGAACCGGCACCUGCAGAUCCUGCCGGAUGGUACGGUGAACGGUGCCAAGAACGACAGCUCGAUCUAUACGUUUUAAUCAAAAGGGAAUGAAAUCGUCCUUUUCGAAAGGACGAAGAGAAAAUGUGAGAAAAUGAGGAUCGAGGCCCAGAACAACUAUAAAUAUAAAACCGACGACUGAAACUCUGGAACCCCUGCAGCUGAUAGCACUUAGCUCCCAAUGGCACACGUAGCAUGCUGCGCGGUUGAUUGGCCCGGUGCUUUUAAUUGAAAUAUCCCGGACAGAAAAGGUGAACGUACGAGAAUAUAAAGUUGUUACUUCACAAUUGAAUGCUCACUCCACUUCUUUCUUCGAGACGCGAGGAAAUAAAACCUUGGAUUAAAAGUUAAUGUAGGAAGGAAAACGUACGCGCGUAAUAAAGAUGUUCGCGGGACUGUAUAUCUGAUUUCUUAUCUGCAAUUGAUAUGACUAUCGCGAGCGAGAAGAUUGCCGUGAAAUUACUGCUAAGUGAUUUGAUAUGGUAAUGUUGUAUGUGCACCGCGGAGCUUAGAAAUGCGAAGUAGAGAAUUAAAGGCGCGAUAUUGCAUGAUUAACAAGCCCGUGACGAUUUGCGGGCUACAGCCGCGGUGACCGCGUGUAAUCGAGUAUAUUUGCACUGCUAAAUAUCUGCCAGAUUGCUAUAAUAAUUACUAUGCAAUUAUGUUGCCUUUGAUUUAUCGCUCGCGAUUGCGAUAUGCAUCGGGAACGACGGACGGUCGGUUCCGCUUGCGCUAUCAGCUGUUAAAACCGAGCGAUUAAAGGCAGACCAGCAAAGUGAGACCUUUCGCGAAUGUGACGAGGAGCUAUCUUGAUUAACGGUAAACCCGCGAUUGUGGUACGCGGAAAUUGUUGCGUAUUCGCAAUUGGCGAUGCGAACUCGCGGUCGCGAAGGCGCCGGAAGGCGUCGCGUCGCGCCGUGCGCCGUCGAGUUAUCUCGACGCGACCAAUCGGCAAGAAAUACGAUCGGCUGAUUAGAUUCCAAAAUUAGUCGAUGGAAUUCCGCGCGCGACAAUUAGCGAGAACCGGCGUGGCGCAAUUAUCGCCCGAUAGUCCGGAUUUCAAUGUCGCUAGACGCGACUUUUUCCGUCACGUGCGCGACAUGUUAAAAUCGAAUAGCGCGAUCUGCAUUAGGAUGUGCAUCGAAUAGUUGAUCAUCGACAGCUGCUAAUCCCAGGAUUAUCCUACGAUGCAAAUCGUAAUAAUAAUUAUCUUCUAUUAGACAUCAAGCAAAACUGCAAAACUAAUUAUCACGCGAAAUCAUUUUGUAUCGACUCGAUUCUGCCAGAUUAGGGUGCAAGGUCGCUCUCCUUAUGUCGGAUUCUAUCGAAUGGAACGUGUUCGCGUGCAAUAUGCCAAGUCAUCGAAGCAUUCACAGGUCUGUCGAUGAUAAAUGACUUGGAGUUACUUCCCCGACUGUCAUCGAAAAAGUUGCGAUAAUUAAUUGCUAUGAGUGUAACUUGUCACCAUGCAAAUCGUUUCAUAAUAUUUAUAAAUUAUGGAAUGAUCUACAAAUAACAAUAUGAAGAGAGUAUAUGGCUAAAUGGAUAAAGAUAGUGAAAGAGUAUUAUUUAAAACUAGCAAGAAGAAUACAAAUUGACAAUUGGCAUUACAAAAACGACGUUUGAAAACCACGAUAAUUUAAUAGAGAAAGCGGCGACGCACCUAGUACGAACAAAUGAAUGAAUUUUGCAUGCGGGAUUUCCGAGAAACAACUUAGCACGCAAAUCUUAAGACAAAGGUGCAGUGAUUCACUCUGUGAAGCCAAUCACUUGUAUUGAAAUCGAUAAAGAUAACGUUCUCGUAUCCAAUUCCCUUAUUCUAAAUUCGUAAUUCGAUAAUAUUGUAUAUCUGUCAACGACAUAGAAACAGCCAUUUCCGCAUGUGCGAAGGCGUUAUGUGCUAGAUGUAACUUCCAAGAAAACUAAUACGUCUUGUGGAUAUAUAAGAGAUAGGUCUCAAUAAAGAUAUCUUCAAGAUAUUUUUAAAAGAUGUCUAGAAGUAAAAAAAA